UACGUAGGGUGCGAGCGUUAAUCGGAAUUACUGGGCGUAAAGCGUGCGCAGGCGGUUCGUUAAGUCAGAUGUGAAAUCCCCGGGCUCAACCUGGGAACUGCAUUUGUGACUGCAUCGCUGGAGUGCGGCAGAGGGGGAUGGAAUUCCGCGUGUAGCAGUGAAAUGCGUAGAUAUGCGGAGGAACACCGAUGGCGAAGGCAAUCCCCUGGGCCUGCACUGACGCUCAUGCACGAAAGCGUGGGGAGCAAACAGG
rnacentral:rRNA from 1 species